CUCUUUUGUCUCCAUCUCCGUGGAAUCUUCUGUUUCUUGGAAUGGAUUUUCCAAGAGUUUCAAUACAUUUCUCACCUCUGAGAAAUCCCCAUUUUCAGCUGCUUCUAUGGCAUUCUGAGCAAUGUAGUUUCUCAAGAUGUAUUUUGGAUUGUUGGAAUUCAUAACCUUCACACGUUCAGUAUUCCAGGCAUCAACAUCACUAAUGCUUUCUACUUCUUUGUGUAAACGGACUCUG
rnacentral:lncRNA from 1 species